GGCACGGUGGUGCAAUUGGUAGCACUGUUGCCUUACAGCUUAAAGUUCCAGGGUUCAACUCCCGGCUGGGGGUCU